UGACUGUAGGUGAAAGCUUACAUCUCUUCGGAGCAUUUUACGAGGUGCUGCAUGGUUGUCGUCAGCUCGUGCCGUGAGGUGUCGGUUAAGUCCCAUAACGAGCGCAACCCUACCUUUAGUUGCCAUCAGGUAAUGCUGGGGACUCUAAAGGAACUGCCUACGCAAGUAGUGAGGAAGGCGGGGAUGACGUCAAAUCAGCACGGCCCUUACGUCCAGGGCUACACACGUGCUACAAUGGCCGAUACAGAGGGCAGCUACCUGGUGACAGGAUGCAAAUCUCCAAAGUCGGUCUCAGUUCGGAUCGGAGUCUGCAACCCGACUCCGUGAAGUUGGAUUCGCUAGUAAUCGCGCAUCAGCCAUGGCGCGGUGAAUACGUUCCCGGGCCUU
rnacentral:rRNA from 1 species